GACGAACGCUGGCGGCGUGCCUAAUACAUGCAAGUCGAGCGGAUGACGGAGGAGCUUGCUCCUCUAGAUUCAGCGGCGGACGGGUGAGUAACACGUGGGCAACCUGCCCUGUAGAUUGGGAUAACUCCGGGAAACCGGGGCUAAUACCGAAUAAUCCUUCGGACCUCCUGGUCCGAUGUUGAAAGACGGUUUCGGCUGUCACUACUGGAUGGGCCCGCGGCGCAUUAGCUAGUUGGUGAGGUAACGGCUCACCAAGGCCACGAUGCGUAGCCGACCUGAGAGGGUGAUCGGCCACACUGGGACUGAGACACGGCCCAGACUCCUACGGGAGGCAGCAGUAGGGAAUCUUCCACAAUGGACGAAAGUCUGAUGGAGCAACGCCGCGUGAGUGAAGAAGGUUCUCGGAUCGUAAAACUCUGUUGUGAGGGAAGAACAAGUACCGGAGUGACUGCCGGUGCCUUGACGGUACCUCAUUAGAAAGCCACGGCUAACUACGUGCCAGCCGCCGCAGUAACAC
rnacentral:rRNA from 1 species